rnacentral:rRNA from 1 species
UACGAAGGGUGCAAGCGUUACUCGGAAUUAUUGGGCGUAAAGAGCGUGUAGGCGGCCUGACAGGUCAGCUGUGAAAACUCGAGGCUCAACCUCGAGACGUCGGUUGAAACCAUCUGGCUAGAGUCCGGAAGAGGAGUGUGGAAUUCCCGGUGUAGCGGUGAAAUGCGCAGAUAUCGGGAAGAACACCCGUGGCGAAGGCGGCACUCUGGGACGGUACUGACGCUGAGGAGCGAAAGCGUGGGGAGCGAACAGG